rnacentral:misc_RNA from 1 species
GAUGAAGAACGCAGCGAAAUGCGAUACUUGGUGUGAAUUGCAGAAUCCCGUGAACCAUCGAGUCUUUGAACGCAAGUUGCGCCCGAAGCCAUUAGGCCGAGGGCACGCCUGCCUGGGCGUCACACGUCGUUGCCCCCCCAUCUACUCCUUCGGGAUUGCGGGGGGCGGAUGAUGGCCUCCCGUGCGCCUCGUCGCGCGGUUGGCAUAAAUGCCAAGUCCUCGGCGACGCACGCCACGACAAUCGGUGGUUGCGAAACCUCGGUUGCCCGUCGUGUGCGGUCGUCGCGAAUCGAGGGCUCGAAAAAAUUGCCGGGCUCCGGCUCGGCUUUCAACGCGACCCCAGGUCAGGCGGGGUUACCCGCUGAAUUUAAGCAUAUCAAUAAGCGGAGGA